UACGUAGGGUGCAAGCGUUAAUCGGAAUUACUGGGCGUAAAGCGUGCGCAGGCGGCUUUGCAAGACAGAUGUGAAAUCCCCGGGCUUAACCUGGGAACUGCAUUUGUGACUGCACGGCUAGAGUGUGUCAGAGGGGGGUAGAAUUCCACGUGUAGCAGUGAAAUGCGUAGAUAUGUGGAGGAAUACCGAUGGCGAAGGCAGCCCCCUGGGAUAACACUGACGCUCAUGCA
rnacentral:rRNA from 1 species